GACGUUCAAAGCCCUGGAUUUGGUAGUAGCUAAACUGGUCAGCCCACCAGCUCUCAGCAAUUACCAGGGUGAGCUUCCCAGCACUGUCCCCCUUCCCGGCAAGCUCACCCAAUCCUGCAGCUAACACGGGGCAGAGCCUGCUUUCCGUUUAUGCCCUCAGAUCGUGCUCUGCACCUUUCCUGGACAGCACAGUAGAGCUGACCCUGAUGGUGAGGAGAGUGGAAGCACAGGAUGUGGCUCUAACCAUUACCUCCAUCUUCAAGCUUGUUGCCUUCAGAGUAGUGUCUUGCCAUGCCUCCCUAAAGGAUUCUGCUCAGUGAGUAUUAAUAGUAUUCAUAUUUUGUCAAAGAAAGCCCUUCUUUCCACCUGAGCAUCUCUGGUACUGUAAGAAGUAACUAUCUUAAAGGCCAUAAAUUUCAUUUUAGGAUUACUUGGCUGUAGGUUUCUUUUUUUAAUUUUAUUUUUUAUUGUUCAUUACAGUUUGUUCACUUUGUAUCCCAGCUGUACCCCCUCCCUCAUUCUUUCCCAAUCUUACCCUCCCUCCUCAUCUCUGCCCAUGCCCCUCUCCAAGUCCACUGAUAGGGGAGUCUUCCUCCCUGACUGUCUCAUCAAGUGAACUGGGGUACAAAAAUGAUGCCAAAGAGAAGUCAGGACAGGUAAGACCCAAGGUAGGUAGAGAAAUCUCAGCUCAAAAAGUCUGUGGUAAGAGAGAACAGUAGACAUCUGAAUGCCGGUUAGAGGCCAUGUGACGGUUCCUACCCCCACCACUCCAGAGCUGGAGAAGUUGGUCCCUGGUAGGAAGAUUUCACUGAAUGCUGACACUUGAGUUGAAUAGGUCAGCCUGCAUGUGGCUUUGUUGAGUCUCAUUUGGCAUCUCUUAGUUCAAUACUGAAAGAGCACCCAGUUUAUCCAUCCUGACGUUAUUCUUAUUGGUGCUCCAUUCCUUACCCUAUUUUACGCUUCUGUUUUUUGUGCAUCUUUUUUUUCUGACUCUGAAGGCUACACUUGUUUGAUGCUUUGUGGUUCAGUUUAGAAAUUCCUUCUUCCACUCAUGUCCUGCCCCCCAUGACAAUGUCAGUAGUUAGGACUGGGUUAUAGCUCAGUGGUGAGGCACUUAGCCACACACAGAGCCUGGGGCCAUAUUCCUAAUACUAGCAGCAAGUUCUGUGACUGUUGUCUUUGCUAGCAUUUCCAUCCUUUUAAGUUUCAUUUCUGUCAUUAGUCAGAAGCUACUGAGGCAUCGUUAGUGAAAGUCCAUGGAGCAAGUCUGUGUACUGUCUCAAGACUGACAGAAGCAUGUGUAUAACAAUUGUGGCACAAAGUAAACCCCAAAGAUGUGUAAAGACACCUCAUUUGCUUAAUUUUAGUGUCUAUAAGCAUGCUGGGUGCAAAAGUGCAAGAUCUGAAAGGAAAGCAUUUAUUUCUUAUGGAAACAUCUCCGCUUAUAACAGUAAUACACUUGUGUCCAUUCUUGACCAGUGAGCUUGACCUGGGAGCAUUUUGCUGGGCUCCCCCAUGACAUUAAAAUCUGUAAAUGUAUGACUUUUUAAUAGCUGGAGAACUGAAGACAGUGUCUUAAUAUCUGUGUGAUGGCUACUACAAAAUGACUAAGACUGGUAGCUUACAGGAAACAAAUGUUAGGUGCCAGGAAGUUGGCUCAGUUUGAUCUGAGUUUAGAUGUCCAGCAUUCAAAUAAAAAAGUCAGUGUGGUAGCAUGUUCUUGUAAUCCAAGUGUUGAGGAUGCAGAGACAGAAAGACAGCUGGAACUUUCUGGCCAGCCAGUCCACCUGGAUUGGUAUGCACCAGGUUCAAUGAGAGAGCUGUCUCAAAAAGUAAAGUGAACAGUGCUUGAGGAAACUACUUUGUUUCUACACACAUAUGCAAGACAUGUAUGGACAAAUACACAGAAGGGCAGAAGAGGAGAAGAAGAAGAAGAAGGAGAAGACAGCAUCGCAGCAGCAGCAUAUUUGAGGCUUUAAAGUUCGUGAGUGCUGCACUGAUCGCUGCCACCUCUGGUGAGGGCCUCCUGGCUGUAUCAUGAAUAGCAAGAAACAUCUCGUGAUAAGACACAGAAAAUGCAUGGAACUGGAGAUUAUCGUGAUAACCGAAAUAAGCCGAAUUCAGGCAAAUAUUGUGUGUCCUCCUUCACAUGGGGUUUCAAUAAGGAAAUAGUGGUGACUCCUUUCCAAAUGUGGAAAGCGAGGGCAAAAUGAUGAGAAUGCCCCUCACAUCUCGCCUGCAAUUCAGAAGUCAGAUGCCAAGAUGCUUUGUGUUGUAUGAACUGGCUUUGUCAUAUUCACUGAGAAGCAGAAGAGGAAAGGAUCAGAGCAGGCUGGGAGUGAAUCGUGGAGCAGAGCUGUGGCCACGUGGAGACCUACUUUUCCUGAUGUACAUGUGGCACUCUGUCAUAAAAAGAUGGUGGCUGAGUAAUGCAUUGCCCUGCAACUGAUAAGCCAGAAGGCAAAAGGAGUUUCAAGGAAGUGAAGUCAGAAGUGUUUGGAAAGAAUGCAGCUAACGGUGUCCAUUACGGGGAAUUUUCGUUAAUAGUUUUUCUGUCUGUGAGCUGGAGAGACAUCACCCCUUUCCUUCUGCUCUCUGCUGACAGCUUCUGCUUAACGCCUUCCUUCCAGCUGGGAGGGCAGCAGGAUGGCUGCUUAUGCAGCGAAUGCCAGGAUGGCUCCUUAGCGGGCAUCCAGGGCAUCAGCUUCCUCCUGGAAGGCGCACGUGUCACCUUCACGUCUCGUGCAUCUUCCAUCACUUAUGUGAAUACAUUGGUGGGUCUUGAUGGAAGGCAGUAGGCUAUGAAAGUAACUAACAAGUGACUGAAAACACAGGCUGCCUUCAGCUUUGCUACUGGGGUAAAGAAUACUUCCUUUUUUUUUCCUUACAAAAUGAGUUUGAAUCGGAAAAGGCCCAACAGCUACCUCACUAUAUUCAGAAAAUAAAAUUGAAAAGAGAACAGAGAGAGAAAAUAAUUUUGGCAAUUGACUUGCAUAGGCAUCUGUAAACAAUGGUGUGUAAAGGCUAGGCAAUGUCAGAAGUAAACUUGUAAUUUCAGAAGUGUAUUCUGCAGUGAUUUGGAAUCACGACACUGCAACUGGUUACCAAAUCAAAAGCUACCCCUCAAAAGACACCAUGAUUCCUCCAAUAUGAUCAUUGAACACAGGUACAAGUUUAGACCAACGUAGGGCAAAUUAUUUGAAAGCGGGUGUGGCUAUAAUUUAACAGGUACUUUAUUUUUUUUUGUUGCUUAAUUAACUGGUUUAAUCUAGUUAAUAAAGAAAUUCUAUAGUUCAUUUCUAGAAGACUGAAUCAUCUAUCUUUUUUUAUUAUUAGACAUCAUUAGAAUAUCGAUGUCAACAUACUUUAUAGAAGAGCUUGAUUUUUAUAAUACCUGUCUCUGGGGGAAGCAAAUCAGAAUGAUAAAUGGGUUUUGGAGAUAAUUUGUCUCUAACCCAGUCAUAUCCCCCAUCCCUGGCCCAUUGAGGAAUCUGUUCUCCUCUUAGGAAGUAGCAAUGGAAAUGCAGAGUAAGGGCCCAGCUCCCUGCGGAGCAGGCUCACAUAACCUCCAGUGGCCUUCAAGUGGAAGGAAAUACUGUGAAGAAUGGCCAUAUAUUGAAUAUAAUAUUCUGAAAACCUUACAAGUUAGGUAUAUCUUUAUUAACAACAUUUAUAGGACCAAAGGCCUACAUCACACCAUAAACUAUUCCUUUUUUCUCCCAACCUCCCAAUAUUUUCCUUAAGAUACUUCUUAAAGUAGUAUAUAAAAAGCUUACUCUUGAUGUUUUAGUCAGGCUUGUCAUACAUUAAUUGAAGAGUUUUUAGUAUUUCCGAGUUAGGCUGUCAGAUAUUAUCAGAACAAUUCUGAGACACUUCAGCAACACCAUGUUACCAAGCCCUCUGAUAUUUUUGAAAAAUGGCUUUACUAGCUUCUCUUAAGCACACAUGCAACUAGAUAUGGAUUAGAAGGUUAACACAAGUGAGUAUCCAUCCAGAAGCAUGCUUUUUAUAUGCCAUUUAUUUAAGGCUUAUUGUGUACAGAAUACUUAUUUUCAGCAUCGUGCAUGCAUUAUUUCAUGUAACCUCCAGUUACAUGAAAUACAUACUAUCAUUGGAUCCAUUUUUACAAAUAUAGAAAUGUAGGCAGGGGCAGGAUGUCGAACCAUUCAAAGUAUGCACUUAUAAUUAGAAUAGUUAGUAUCAAAAAGAAGGUACCCCGACACUGUGUUCUUUGUUCUUGUAUUUCAUUACAUUGCCUUCCAUUAUUUACUAUUGAUUCAAAGCUGCCUUAGGAUGUGAGAUGUGCUUUGAAGAAUGUGGGAAUUUUAAACUCAGUGCUAGGUCAGAAGAAAACUGUAUCUGUAAACAAUCAGUUGUGUCGUCACCCCAAGCUCUUUAACAAUGUCAACACUGUACUGUGUUUUUGUGAAAAGGAGCACAAAGAUGUUAGUUCCAUGAGGGCCUAAGUCAGAAGACAUAAAAGUAAAGUGUCUCAACAGGUCAAUACAAAAUGGACAAUUUUGUAUUUUUGUAUUGAUGAGAACAAGAGAAUCUAAUGCUGUUAAUUAAAACACUGACCUGAUGAUAUUAAACAUAAGAUUAUCUACAAAUUACAAACUUAACAUUUUUUUUUUAGAAACAAAAAUUAUUGCUCUCCAUAUCUUCACUGGAAUUCCACAUUUUGUUUGUCUAUUUGUUGGGGACAGGUCUCAUGUAGCCCAGGCUAGCCUUGAACUCCUGGUCUCCCUGCCUCCUCCUCUGAGUGCUGCACUUACAGGUAUGAGCCAUUGAGACCAGCUGGAGUUUCACAUUUUGAUUAAACUAAAAAUAAAUUCCUGUGAUGAAAAUUACUUUCAUAAAAUUGGAUUAGCACAUAAUUUGAAGAAAUAUGAUUUGUGAGUUUUCCAAGAACAGUUUUAUUUUUACUCAGAUGAUACCCAAUAGAUCAACUUAAACGUUGAUACAUUUUUAGCAUAACAGAAGCAUGUUGGUCUCUCAGUUGGCAUCAGAAAGAAAACACUCUGUGAGGAGUUUUAUUUAACCCAGUUAGGCUGUGUGCACAGCCCUAACCUGAGGUCUACUUGCUCUACCUCUGAUGUUCUGUUACCAGAAAAGAUUAAAGCAGAAAGAGUAUAUAUUUUUUUGGCAUGGACUAUCUUUAUUUACAGAAUGUAAAAAUGUCAGAAAUGUCAUAUCCCUUGUAUGUUCCCAAUGCUUUUGUUUCGAAUUUGUUUUCUCAUUAGAACUUACAAAAUAAAAUCUCAGUAAGAUCCUUGCAUACAA